UGGUAUCGCUUGGUGCUCUCAGGAAGCUGGAGACUCCAGUUCCUGAAAGAAGAGGACUUGUUCAACGCAGGAGUGGGGAGAGAGUUCCCUUCUUCAUAGAUGUGGCCUCUCAUUGAAAAUACUUGUGCUCUGACACCUCCUGGAACGUCACUGGUGCUUUUAUUUUCCAAAUGGAAGAGCUGCCGGACCUGUUCUGCCUUGUUCCCACCUGGUGGGGAUUAAGUGGAUGUGACUCUGGGACUGUUCUCUUGAGUAACUCCGCGUGAUAACUUCUGCUUG
rnacentral:lncRNA from 1 species